CCUGAUGCAGCCAUGCCGCGUGUAUGAAGAAGGCCUUCGGGUUGUAAAGUACUUUCAGUUGUGAGGAAGGCGUUGAUGUUAAUAGCUUCGGCGUUUGACGUUAGCAACAGAAGAAGCACCGGCUAACUCCGUGCCAGCAGCCGCGGUAAUACGGAGGGUGCGAGCGUUAAUCGGAAUUACCUGGGCGUAAAGCGCAUGCAGGUGGUCUGUUAAGCAAGAUGUGAAAGCCCGGGGCUCAACCUCGGAACAGCAUUUUGAACUGGCAGACUAGAGUACUGUAGAGGGGGGUAGAAUUUCAGGUGUAGCGGUGAAAUGCGUAGAGAUCUGAAGGAAUACCGGUGGCGAAGGCGGCCCCCUGGACAGAUACUGACACUCAGAUGCGAAAGCGUGGGGAGCAAACAGGAUUAGAUACCCUGGUAGUCCACGCCGUAAACGAUGUCUACUUGGAGGUUGUGGCCUUGAGCCGUGGCUUUCGGAGCUAACGCGUUAAGUAGACCGCCUGGGGAGUACGGUCGCAAGAUUAAAACUCAAAUGAAUUGACGGGGGCCCGCACAAGCGGUGGAGCAUGUGGUUUAAUUCGAUGCAACGCGAAGAACCUUACCUACUCUUGACAUCCAGAGAACUUUCCAGAGAUGGAUUGGUGCCUUCGGGAACUCUGAGACAGGUGCUGCAUGGCUGUCGUCAGCUCGUGUUGUGAAAUGUUGGGUUAAGUCCCGCAACGAGCGCAACCCUUAUCCUUGUUUGCCAGCACGUAAUGGUGGGAACUCCAGGGAGACUGCCGGUGAUAAACCGGAAGGAAGGUGGGGACGACGUCAAGUCAUCAUGGGCCCUACGAGUAGGGGCUACACACGUGCUACAAUGGGCGUAUACAGAGGGGCU
rnacentral:rRNA from 1 species